AUAAACCCACCCCUGUCCAACCUUAUCCCUCCCACCCCAACCACCCCACGCCUACCCACCCUCUUCAACACCGAGUCGUCCCACCUCCCAACCAGCGCGCCCCGCCACCUCCCCGUGUGGCCCCGCCAGCUACCUCCCAUGCCCCGCCGCCUCAACCUCGAGCACCAGCACUCCGCCCCCACCACCGAGCACCAGCUCCAAACCGGCCCGACGCGCCUCACCUUCUCCCCGGUGCGCCGCACACCACCCGAGACAUCGCCCCACCUUCCCCACCUCCGCGCACGGCGCGCCCCACCCCGAGAUGCUAGACCACCCCAGAUCCUCGACGGCCCCCGGCGCCGCAACCCGCCCCCAUACGCGGAUUCGCACAGCACCGCCGUCCCCGACCAGCAACCACCCCGGAUCGAUGCCGAUGAUGCUUGACCGCCUCCAACCACCGCGGGCCCUCCCUGCUCCCCCCAGCGCUACCUGGCGCGGCCAUCGGCCUCUCCAUCCUGGGUGAGGGCGGGGCGCGGGCAAGGAUGGAGUCCCGGUGGGAGCGGCCGGAGGCGAAGAUCUUCGCCAAUCUGGCUUCCUCCGGUACCUGCAGCUCGGCCCAGGACGGCAUGCGGCUCGACCGAUGGCGGCUUGCAGUACGCCGACGCCCUCCGUGCUCACCACCGACGCCUCCUUCUUCCUCCACACGUCCGGGCACCCCUGCUACCCUCGCAUCCAGCGCAGGUGGGGACGAGCCCCGGCCGCCACGCUCCCCUGUCCUCUGACCUCUAUCUCCACUCUCUUGGGCUGGAUCUAUAUCACACCUAGAGCUGAGCAACUGUGGCGUCCGACUCUCUGUGUAGUCAACAUCGUCGAUGAACAGUGUGCUCCCUGUUCCUCCUCUCCGGUAUGAGCAAUUCAAGGUCGUCGCUGGAGCAGUCGGCUUGCCUCCUCUCCCGCGAACUGUUGCAUCAUUGCCAAGCAGUUCGCUAUGUUUCUUUCUUUAGUUAUUUGUAUAUGAUCUUUUCGUUAGUAGUUUGACCUUUCGUGUUUUAGAUUUUUGCUGUGCGCCUGGAUGUGAAGUGCAGUGCACCCGGAUCCCGCGAGCAGUGUGUCGCGCGCCCUGGUGUGGUUCAUCCACGGCCAGGGAAGGAGAUACAUAAAACAAAGAAAUUGACCGCACCCACGAUGAAGUUUUUUGUUUGGUGCAGUUUCAAAUGCUGCCUUUGAAAGAAAAUGUAUGUGCGUAUUGAGAAGUUCAGUUUUAUGGUUGGCCAUCUUUCUCUGCUUUGUGAUGGCCGAGGAGUGGGCGAGAGGAGUUGCUUGCCGUGUGCAUAUGCUGUUCAUUGUUGUUGUGUCUCUCUAGACCAUGUAGUGCAGAACACAUUAGAAAAAUAGCUAAGAAAAAUUGUGCGAUUUUACUACUCUUGACCCUGCAGUGCAGAACACUUAGAAAAAAUACAUAUAGAAACAUGCAGUUCAGUAUGGUGAACACAUGCAUGAUUUUGUUUAAAAUAUAUUGUUCA